AAUGCUUUAUACUAAUGAUAACGAGGCCAGGAUAAGGUACCGGUAUUUGAUGUAUCUAUUGACAAAUUGCGGACAACGAAGAGGAUAUAGUUAUAGCAGCUAAUAAUGCUGAAAAUGAUGUUAGGAAGAAUGAGAACAACACCAGAGGUCGAUUUUCAUAUCCAAAGACGGACGAGGAUACAUCCGAAAUACCUAAAAGCACCAAAAACAACUUACAAGGAGCAUCAUCAACCAAUUUUAUUUAAAUGGAAACAAUCGAAAAAAUUAGAAAAAAUGGCCGUGAAAUAAGUAUUGACACUGGUUGUGUUAAAAUCAAUUUGAAAGUUUUUUUUUCAAGAAACCGUCUUGAUGAGUAACGAAAUUAUUGUAU